rnacentral:rRNA from 1 species
CCUACGGGAGGCAGCAGUGAGGAAUAUUGGUCAAUGGGCGCGAGCCUGAACCAGCCAAGUAGCGUGAAGGAUGAAUGACCUACGGGUUGUAAACUUCAUUUAUAAAGGAAUAAAGUGAGGCACGUGUGCCUUUAUGUAUGUACUUUAUGAAUAAGGAUCGGCUAACUCCGUGCCAGCAGCCGCGGUAAUACGGAGGAUCAGAGCGUUAUCCGGAUUUAUGGGGUUUAAAGGGAGCGUAGAUGGGUUGUUAAGUCAGUUGUGAAAGUGUGCGGCUCAACCGUAAAAUUGCAAUUGAUACUGGCAGCCUUGAGUACAGUUGAGGUAGGCGGAAUUCGUGGUGUAGCGGUGAAAUGCUUAGAUAUCACGAAGAACUCCGAUGGCGAAGGCAGCUUACUAAACUGCCACUGACAUUGAUGCUCGAAAGUGUGGGUAGCAAACAGGAUUAGAUACCCUUGUAGUC